GCCUGGCUGUGGCCAUACGAGGAGUCUAUCCGCAAGUGUGCUCGCAGCUGGGUGACAGUCAUACGCCUGAUGGAGAAGAACCCGGAGUUCACGUUUGUCUGCUCGCAGGCCCAGCAGUUUGAGUGGGUGAGGAACUGGUAUCCUGGGUUGUACGCUCAGAUUCAGGACUAUGCCAAAGAGGGACGAUUCAUACCUGUUGGUGGCACCUGGGUAGAAAUGGAUGGGAAUCUUCCCAGUGGUGAAUCAAUGGUGCGUCAGUUCCUGCAGGGACAGCGGUUUUUCCAGCAGUAGUUUGGGAAGCUUUGCUCGGAGGUACGUGUUCC